rnacentral:tRNA from 1 species
GUUUUAAUAGUUUAUAAAAAAUAAUGAUCUUGUAAAUCAUAGAAGGAAUAACCUUAAAACU